GGUAAAAGUUCUACCCUAUCUAAAGCACAUCUAGGGACUGAAUUUCAGAAAACAACUAAAAUAGGGAGUCGACUCCCUAACAAAUAACAACUAAGGAUGAUUUUCAACAAAUGCGAUUGGAUUUCUGGAUUAGCAGAAUCGGAACACACACACAUUAUCAGUACUUACAGUAUGGAACUCCAAUUCUGAUAUUUUCUCUGGCUGACCUGAUCCAAAAAAAUAAACCCGAAUAAUAUGAUCCGUGCUUCCUGUGGCCAGAAACAUGCCACCUGAGGAGUAGGAGCAAACAUUUACUAUGGAGAUAAUGGCAGCAAAGACCUCUCCUUCCAACAUGAAACUGGAUCUCUUACACUGUAGGUAAUUCCUAACAACAACAAAAUUCUAUUUUGUGAAUCCCCCUUGGAAAUUUCGAAGUUUCAUGAAAAUAAAAAGUUUGAGAGGUAAAGUUCA